rnacentral:rRNA from 1 species
GAUGAACGCUAGCGGCAGGCCUAACACAUGCAAGUCGAGGGGCAACGGGGGAGGGCUCGCCCUCCUGCCGGCGACCGGCGCACGGGUGCGCAACGCGUAUGGAACCUGCCCACUACAGGGGAAUAGCCCAGGGAAACUUGGAUCAAUGCCCCAUGGCGCCGCGGAGCGGAAUCGUUCCGUGGCUAAAGCCUUCGGGCGGUAGUGGAUGGCCAUGCGUCCCAUUAGCUAGUUGGUGCGGUAACGGCGCACCAAGGCCGCGAUGGGUAGGGGCCCUGAGAGGGGGAUCCCCCACACUGGUACUGAGACACGGACCAGACUCCUACGGGAGGCAGCAGUGAGGAAUAUUGGACAAUGGGCGGGAGCCUGAUCCAGCCAUGCCGCGUGCAGGAAGACCGCCCUAUGGGUCGUAAACUGCUUUUGUACGGGAAGAACCGGGGGCACGCGUGCCCUCCUGACGGUACCGUAAGAAUAAGGAUCGGCUAACUCC